rnacentral:ncRNA from 1 species
CCUUGACAGCCGCACUGGGCGGCUGACACUAGCCACGACAAGGAGAUUUUUCAUG